UAUACUAAAAAUAAAUAAAUAUGGGCAAAAACAAGCACAAGACAACAACAACAGUAACAAAAUAAUAGAUAAAACAGUAAAAACAAUGAGGAAUGCCUCCCCCUACUUAAAACACAUUGCCUUCGAUAUUAAAAAAUAAAUAUGCUAAAGAAAAAGGGUUUAGCAAAAUUCCCCAUGUAGUUACUGUUGUUCACAUAUAGCUGCAAUAAGAUUAGACAUCUACUGGCCGGAGGUGUCCAGCCGAGCUUCAACGCGCUCCAAACAUUGCUCGAUGGUCAUGAAAGGUUGGUUUUGGUUGGGUACCUCUUACUGAUUUUGCUGCCUAAAGAUCCGUUCAGCUGGUGAAGCUCGGAUACCUGGAGGGACAAAACAGAAGAAAGAAAGAGUGCCAAAAAGUAAUCCCAUAGAGUCAAGACAGCGAGCAUCCAAUGGAUUGACUUGAAAAGUAAUAUGUAAGUCCAAAAUAGAACCAUUAGAGCCAUGUAAAGAGAAUAACAAUUGUGUAACAAAAGAGCCUAAAAUUAGAGGUCAUUUGACAUUUAUAAUAUGCUCAAAUUGAAGCGCAUACCAAUAGCCCAAAUUUAUCAGACGACUAGUGUACAUACAUCAUAACAAAAAUAAUUUCGUCUUCGAGAUAGUAGCCGGCGCAUCUCUCUGACUAGAAAAAUUGUAAGCCAAGUAACGGUGUACAUAACAUAAGGUAGAGUUACGAAACCAUAAAUCUUUUGAUGUUUUAGGGCUAUAUGUCAUUUUGGCAUUGUCUGUUAAAAACGCAAAGGCCUCGAUAACCUUGAAUUCUAUUGAAAAAGUACACAAAUUGUUUUAUAGUCAGUGGACAUAGCAUUGUCUUCUGUCACAAAAGUUAGUGCAAUAUUAAAAUCAGUGAGGGACAAACUGUGUGUGGUCUCAAGUAGUCAAAAUGAUAUAAUCCCAGGUGUGCCCAACGAGAAUUGGCCAUGCCGUCGAAAAUGGAAGGUGGAAAAAAUUCUAAAAUUAGUUCAUAAUAAGUGCAGUGAAUGAUAUCAAAAUUACCAACCCAACCAAUAUUGCAAAAAUAAUCGGUAACAAUAGUGUCAAUAUGCAAAGCAUUCAAAACAGACAGUGAUAAACAUUUGCAAUACUCUACUUGUUUGUGUCGUAAACGAUUAUAACUGUCUCGAUCGACAGCUUUAUCAAAUGUUAAGUUACAAUUUAAACGACAUUUCAGUGGCAGAAUAUUCACUCGAGACGGUAGGUUCUGCCUUGGGUCGGUAACGGUUGAUGGUCAUUGUGACUCCUCGAUGCGUCGAGCGUGUAGGACGUACAUUGACGUCGUUGUCUGAGUUGGGCUUCGGCAUGGGGUAAGCGGACUUAGUGGAUGAGGUAGUGUUAGACGCGGCUGCUGGUUGGGCCGGAAGACCCUGAGGCCGUUGACGGGUCCAACAACUAGUGGAGGUAAGAGCCAAAGAUGAUGGUGGCGAUGGUGGGUGUGAAGCAAUCGGCAAAGGUGAUGGUGGGGGAAGAAAAAUUGGUAAGGGUGACGGUGAGGUUGAAGGGGAAGGUACGACAUCGCGUGGAAGGGAGGGAGGAUGGCAAGGUUCGAUGUCGAGUGGAGGAGAGGGAGGAGGGGAAUGUUUGGCGUUGAGUGGAGGGCAGGGAAGAAGGAAAGGUUCGGCGUCGUCAAAGUCAACGUGUUAGGGUAUUGAAAACCAGCGUCGACAGUUGUUAAUGGUGAAUGGGGGUUCGGCAGCGGCGCAGAUCCUAGUCUUAACUAUGGUGGUUCGAAAGUUAGCUUGAAGGUAGAGGAGAGGGCUAAUAGCGGCUUGAGUGAGUUUUGGGUGAAUAUGGGUGAAAAAUUAGGGUUUAAA
rnacentral:lncRNA from 1 species